GGCUGAGCGGUAAAGCGCUUGACAUGCGAAUCGAGAGGUUCCAGGUUCAAAUCCUGG
rnacentral:tRNA from 1 species